AUUGAACGCUGGCGGCAGGCCUAACACAUGCAAGUCGAACGGUAACAGGAAACAGCUUGCUGUUUCGCUGACGAGUGGCGGACGGGUGAGUAAUGUCUGGGAAACUGCCUGAUGGAGGGGGAUAACUACUGGAAACGGUAGCUAAUACCGCAUAACGUCGCAAGACCAAAGAGGGGGACCUUCGGGCCUCUUGCCAUCGGAUGUGCCCAGAUGGGAUUAGCUAGUAGGUGGGGUAACGGCUCACCUAGGCGACGAUCCCUAGCUGGUCUGAGAGGAUGACCAGCCACACUGGAACUGAGACACGGUCCAGACUCCUACGGGAGGCAGCAGUGGGGAAUAUUGCACAAUGGGCGAAAGCCUGAUGCAGCCAUGCCGCGUGUAUGAAGAAGGCCUUCGGGUUGUAAAGUACUUUCAGCGGGGAGGAAGGGAGUAAAGUUAAUACCUUUACUCAUUGACGUUACCCGCAGAAGAAGCACCGGCUAACUCCGUG
rnacentral:rRNA from 1 species